ACUCAGAGAGACUCAAGCUGGAGCAGUCCAGCUGAGCUUCACAUCAUUUCAACAAAAAGGAAGUAUCCAAGAAGACUGGAGUUUUCUGUCUUCUCACCAAUAUUGUCUUGGAUAUUCCCAAUAACCCAAAUCCGGAAAGGUUACAGCAACAGGAAGAACUGGUGAUAAUACCUGGAGUGAGCUGGGGAAACUAUCAGAUCUGCCGCCUAUCUCAAAAUAUUCUGGAAUCCAGACGGCUUCUUCGGGAUCCAUUUUACUCUUCAAGGUCCGUCAUGCCUUCUUGAAGACUGUGAUUCUGCUUCAACAUCCAACCUGAUAGCUUGGAUUCUGCAGUGCCACUGCAGGAUACUGUUGAAUGAUGGCAGAACGUGGCGCCGACAUGUGGACCAACUGAGGGUACGCCAAACAACACGCCCGAUGGUCCAGGACAGGGAAAUCUUCUAUGAGGAGCCUAUUCCCCUGCCAGUUCCAGCUGCCGACCAGCCACCCUCCGCGCCAGAAAAUCAAAAGGCAUCUCGGGACUUACCGCCUGUGGCCACACCUUCCACCAACCAGGGGGAGCUAUCCGCAGCGUCACCUCCUGGAGCAGAACCUGCCUCUUCUCCGACCGCACCUGCACUGAGACAAUCGACACGAGUGCGUAAACGCCCGGAAUAUCUAAAAGACUACGUAUGUUCCAUCCAGGGGUGAAGGAGUGUUGUGAUUUGCCGAGGCUUGACAACAAGAACGCUGACUAGGGAUUGGCUAGGGGGAGUGGCUAAAAACAAGCGGGAGUUCUGACUGUUCUGAUUGGGUAGUUAGCUGACAGCUCGGAGUAUAAAAGAGCUGUCAUCUGCAGACAAGCAGUUCUGUUACGUUACGGUUGCUGUUGGUUCCUGUUAAUAAAUAACGUUAACUCA